rnacentral:hammerhead_ribozyme from 1 species
AUCCAACUGACGAGUCCUAAAUAGGACGAGAUGUGUGUCCUGGAC